rnacentral:tRNA from 1 species
AAAGUGGUGGUUCAGUGGUAGAAUUCUUUGUCUUUCAUGCAGAAGAUUUGGGUUCAUUUCCCAGCUAAUGUA